rnacentral:sRNA from 1 species
AGGCUGUUCAGUUCUCUUGCUAUGGAUUUCAUUGUUGGAUUACCACCAGUAAUUUGAAAGGGAAUCAUCUAUGAUAGUAUUUUGGUCAUACUGGACUGCUAUACUAAACUAGCUAAGUACUUCCCUUGCAUGACUUCAAUUACUGCUUCUGAUUUUGCAGAGUUGUUCAUAGAUAUUCUAAGCAAUUACAGUUCAUCUUCAUCUAUCAUAUCGGCCACCAGGUAGCGCCUUGGCGUGGGGACCCAAGGUGCGUGGGUUCGAAACCCACAGGGGACAACAUUACAUCCAGAGCCAACUUCUCAGCUCCUAAAAUAAUGGGAUGUGAACUUGCCAAGUAGGUACCUUCGGGUGGACCUACUACCUGAUUUAGCUUAUUGUUUCUGGGCUGGAAACCUGUAUUGCAUGUACCAAAUCCUGUCUUUCAUUAAUUUUCCUAUGUUCUUGUUAUAUUCUUGGCGCUGUUCAACACUAAGCAUUCCUCCGGUAUAACCAACUCUUGCCUGUAUUUAACAUCACACAAGGACUCGUCAUAAGCGCUGCUUGCAUACGAGUAUAACGGAAGAAUAAUAAUAAUAAUAAUAAUCAUCUAUCAUAUCUGAUAGAAAUAAGUUGUUUACCAGUCACUACUGAUCAAUAUUCUGUUAUUAUUUAUGAGUUAAGCACAACCUGAGUACGGCAUUCCACCCUCAAACUGAUGGGCAAACAGAACACCAGAAUCAAACAUUAGAGAAUUAUUUACAAGCAUACUCAAACUACCAUCAGAAUAACUGAGUGAAUCUACUUCCACAGACACAAUUUGUCUACAAUUCUGUUUCUCAAGCAUCUAUUAAUAUGCCAUCAUUUCAAGCACUACUAGGUUACAAUUCUGUUUCAUCAAGAGAGAUAAUUGAUAAAGAAUCUGAAUCUGUAACCUCUAUUGAUCUUGAGCUCUUAGCUACAGCAAGGGUGAAGAAAUUACAAGAGUGUAAUAGGCGCAACGGAGAUAUCUAUAUUAGGAAAUAGCUAUGUGGCGAUAGAAGAACACAGAACACGCCAGAA